rnacentral:lncRNA from 1 species
GAGGCCUGGAGGUACACACCCAGCAUGUGGUACACCUUUGCGCCAUAGCCUUGGCCGCAGAGCGUCUCCAGAGCCCCACUUAAUCCGGUCUGCACGCCAACAAGGUAACUGUAGUCACUACUUGAUCAGCAUGCGCAGUUCCUCUCUUGGUUUCUGUACUAAAUUUGCAUCCCAACCAAGCUUAUAUAGUAAAAACUGAAGGCAUGGAAACAUAAAUUAUUGCAAAGUUAGGAUUUCUAGAUAGAAACAACCAAGCUCAUGUGCUAAGACUCGGUUAUGUCCAAUGCAAAGAAAACAUGAUAAUGUAUAUAAACUCCACUGAAACCAGGGCCGAAAAAAUUAUAGCAACGCUGCAGUAACAUAUGAGUGGCAGUACAGAGUAUACUACGAGAGUUCACAUUUCAGUUGAGUUGGUCUUAACAUGUGACCAUGUGCUGUGUUUACUCUGAAGUCUGGCCAUGCUUAAUUUCUGGUAUACUCUAGUCUGGCAAGCAUGCAUGCCACCGAGAUGCACAUCUGUCUAGGUAGGCAAUAAAAGAUGCAUGGUAAUCUUAAAAUAAUGGUCCAACUUCCAACAAACUUCUCCAUUUUAGUAUAACAAAAUACUGUAGAGCUGACUCCUACACUUUAAAGCCAUUAUUUCGCCUUCGCAGCCACAACAUACUAUACCGCUAAUAGUACCAUGAGAUCUUAUCAUUCCUAGCUGAUGUCCUGCUUGAGUUUGAAUUGAAUUAGAAAUAGGGCAGCUUGGCAAUGCUUUUAUCUGAAGAGAAAGAAGAGAGCGUUCUGUCUACAAAUUAUUUAAUUCCUGUUGAGUUUUGAUUUUCUUUUUCUUAUAUUGAAUUUGAAGGGGGGAAAGUCAAAUUGUGUUUCGAAGUUGUGCUAGGCUAGUGCCUUGCAUCCAUUUAACAUUAGCAAGUAGGUUAGGCUGCGGUCAGGCGAAGGCGUAAGGACUAAAGCGACGCAUUUUAGGUGCCAACAUAGAACGGGGUUUAUAAUUUGUCUCGUCCUUCCCGUCAAAAUAAUUUGUCUGGUCCAAGUCCUCUUUGAAUUCUUGCCAACAAAUUAACAGAAGUCCACUCUCUGAAACAUUCUUGUCCAGGAAAAAUAACUAUGCUAGAAAUUCGUAUCGCCAUUCGACUCCAAAAGUAAUAACCUUAACACCCAAAGAAUAUCAGGUUUUCAGUGGUAGGUACACUGUUUUUUUUAAGUUUAUUGUGUUUCACCUUUAAGAAAUGCAUAAUGACAAGCUAACCAUGUACUAUGCAUAAAGAUUCGAUUCAAACCAAAACUUUCUGAAAAGCCUCAAAAGGACCUGUCAAUACAAAGAUUGAGAAGCCAUUCGUGUCAUUUACACCGUAUCGUAGGUUCACGUAUUAUGCAUUUUUUGGGAGCACAAUCAUGAAAGCAAUUCUUGAUUUGUUGGCAUCUUUUUGUUAAAACGACUGUAAUGCUACGAUGGUGUUUAACUAAUGAAGAUCUUUCUUCCUCUGAACAACCCACUAGAAACCAAAAUAUAUUUCGAGAGCCUUACCGAAUAUGCUGAAGGAUAAUUGAUGCACUUUAUUGCUCUCUCUUUUAUUUUAUUUGGCAAGAGAUCUAAGAUGGUGGAGCAUGUUUGAGUAGUAAGUAAUUAAUUGACACAAGGAAAAUCAUGAUAAUUGGUGGUCAGAGAUGGCCAAACUUGAGCAAGUUGAGCUCCUCUGGACUCUGCUCGAGAUGGCCAAACUUGAGCAAAAAUUGGCAACAAGGUCAGGUGCCAAAAUAGGACAAGUUUGGUUCAGUUUGCGUUUGUCUCCCGGGCACCCAAUUAACCAAUAUAUGAUUCGAGUUUCAGUACCACCUUAUUUGGUGUUUCGAUGCAAAAGUGUAGAUUGAUGCUGAAAUAGUGAAAAUAGACGGUGAUCCGGCCGGCCAGGCGGCCACCGGAGUUGGAGGAGAAGCUAGCCAGCCCCCCUUGUUAAUUAAACCAGAUCAACGGAUCAGAAAGAUUGAAGAUGAGAUGCAGAUGGAUGGGUGGUACCAUGAGGGCGAUGCCGGUGACGGUGCCCCAGGAGUUGCCGAGGGUGGCGCCGGCGAGCUCGACGUCGCCGAUGCGGCCGGCGUACAUGACGGAGACGAGCGGGAUGGCAUAGAAGGCCAUGCUCGUCGCCACCAUCGGCGCCGCGAACGACACCUGCCCCCAUGCCUCCUCCUUCUCGUACUCUCCCCACCCCCUCCUUCCCUCUAUCAGCUGCUCCUCCUCUUCUUUGCCGCUGCCGCCAUUGCUGCUCCUCCCAUCCAGCAACGGAGCUGCUGCUGCCCCCUGCUCACCCAUCCUCUGCUUCACUCUCUGUCUCUCUGCUUCUUGUGCUGCUCUCUGCUUUCUGCCUUCUGCUUUGUGAUGUGUGGAGCUUUGAGCAGCAGCUGCGGCUUUUGCUGGAGGACAGGACACGUUGGUGCUGCUAUAUAAAAAGGGAAGACAGCGGCGAUACAACACCAGGCAGCCGCCAGCUUGAAGGACGACCUUAAGCUACUUGCAAGUACUACUAGUACAAUCAGUAGUGUAAUUAUGUCGGGAAAUGGACUAGUUAAUUCUGUACUCAUCGAUGAUGACCAUCCUUCUUGCCUCUCUGCAAUCUGCAUCUGAUCUUUUCCUUUUCCCUUUUAUACGCCCAAAACUCUUGACCAUGUUACUACUAUACUCUCAUCUUGGGUUGAUUCGGACAACCGGGGGCGCCUGGACAAGUUCUGCAUGUGGCCAUUUUGGGCAGAUAUUUCCCCAAGAAUAUCAGUGUUUAAUCGCCCUACCGAUGCUACUCUCUGUUCCGAAUUAAGUCAAACUUCUUAAUCUUAGAUUUAAUUUAUAAAGAAAUCUACCACAUCUACAACUCUACAUUGGUUUUAUUAAAUCCAUCAUGAUAUGUUCAUAUUAAUUAUUAUACUCAUUUGAUAUCGUAGAUAUUAAUUAUCGUAUAUAUUAAUAUAUUUUUUUAUAAACUUGGUUAAGACAAAGCUGGUACUUUUUAUAUUUAGGAAUGGAGAUAGUAUUUGGUAGCAGAAGAAGCAGAGAUAGUGAGAACACAAGAGCAAGUCUGGCCUAGAGAGAAGACGUACUAACAGAUACGUCCUGUCAGAUCAGAUCCAACAUCUACAUAUGAUCUGUAUUUUUAUGUGAUUAAUCUAAUAAUCUGUGAGCUCAUUUAGUUUGCUGACUGGAUCUUUGUGGUCAGUUGUCUGGUCUGGACUGGUUCCUGUCAAAAUUGGAUGUUAUUGGGAACAUGGACUUUUCAAGGAAAAAAUGUAUUCCUUGACCUACCCAUAGAUAAAUAUAAAGCAUUUGCAACUUGCUGAAUGAGACUACCCAUGCGUGCAAUAUUUCCAUUUGCUCACCCUGCGAUUCUGCCACCUCUGUAAACACUUCAGCUGCCUUAAUUUUCCUUCAAACACCAUCAAGAUGACGACGAUAGAUGGAUCGACGACGAAAAUGCAUAUCAAGAACAUCGAUGAUUUGAUCUGUCUAGUAUGAUACAGUUGUGUACGAGUUCAGUACGAUGAAAAAAUCAACGGUGGUUAGAAACAGUAAGUGUGUCAUCCACGGCUGAUGUUUGAAGUAUGAUAUAAAGAAAAUGGGCGUCAUCACAUAGCAGCCAGAGACAUGUAAUUUUAAUGCUAUGCACAGAGUUAUAUUACUUUUCUUUAGCAAAGUCGUAGGUCAGUAGUAUGAAUUUUAUCAGACAGCGACUGUUUGAUUUGCACAGAACUAUAUAAUACUACCUGCAUUACAAAGUAUGUACACAUCAUCUUCUAGAAGAAUUUGACAAUGGCAAGACUUGUAGAAAUUAAUGCGUCUCACAUUCCGAGCUCUUCUGAUUAUCUUAACCUUGGGCCUCCAACCUCGCAUAUCUUCAGCAGCAGCUUCAGAAUUUUCUGCAAUUAAUAGGCUCUUCCUUGGCAACGGUAUUUCUUGGUUUUGCAGGUCGACUAUUGCUGAAGGUUGGUGUAGGAGACACUAUCGCCGAAAUGUUUAAGCUCUCGAGCUUCAUUAGUAUCCAGAAGUAAUUACUUAUAUAGUCAUGAUUUGGAUCAUAUGAGUCACACACGGAAGGAGUAAAUCGUAGUCAAAGCCCGGUCAAAAGAGACUAAUAUGCAUUCUAUUUUAGGACGGAAGUAGGACACUGCUAACAAACAGAUACAUCUUACUUCACUGUAUAAUUUGAACUUUCGCUUCCAUGUCUUCCUGUAUUUGCGUCAAUUCAUAUCAUUUUCAAAUUGACAAGCGUAGCAAACAUCUAAAACAUAAUGCAUUUCGGAAGGGAUUAACUAGGUGUGUCAGCAUGACAGCAUGCACGGUGUCAACAGUUCUACCAUCGCCAUCAUGGUGACAAUCACCUCCAUAUCUUUCUACAAUAAGAUAUGGAGCUCAAUCAGCAACGGCGAUCGAGAUCUUGAUUAUAUCCACCAUUCAAGCAAUAAAAAGAAGUAUUAAUCAAUCAUGGAGCCAGGAGUUUACAAAGUAUGAUUGUCGCAUAAAUUUUUUUUCCCCCUAUACAUAUCAACCACAGUAACUGUUUUUUCUUCAAGAUUGUAACAGCUUACAGCUAAUUUUUUUUAUCUCUAAUUGAAGGUGGAAAAUAGCAACAUUAUAUCCGGUCGACGAUGAUGUCCUUGAUCCUCUCUUCACAUCACAGCCUGGAGUAGUCCGUUGAACUUCUUGAAGCUCAACAUGAUAGCCGGCAUGUCCUCCUCCGCAGGCAGGAUCGUCGUCCGGAGAUGGAACACUCUGCCAAAUUGUUCCAUACGCCCACAGAAAGAAGACAAUAAAUCAUCAGUGCAAUGUUACUAUGAAGUGCCUCACAGAGUUGUAGUUGGGUUCAGAGUUGCAGUUAAACAAAAGGCAUGAAAGACAAAAAAAAAAAAGGUGCACAAAAAAAACCCUUGUUGAAUCAGCAUCAGAUUACUAUAGAAAGGAUGAAAUGUGAUGCGUUUCCUGCAUUCACAGAUACGAGGAGGAUGAUGGUUGAUUUCCUACAGUAGCUAAUGUGAAACAUGAGUUCAGUGUGACUGUUUCCAUAUGUGCAAACCCUACGCUAUGAUGGUGUAAAAUAUCAAUGAUGUGCCACUGUUCUAGUUUUCAGAAUUUAUAUGCCAUGUUUGUCACUCUCUAAGUUUGGCUGGGAUCUCUUACAUUUCUUAACUCACAACACAAAGAACUGGAGAUGAUUGCUCACAGGGCAAAACAGAAAAAGCUCCAAGAGAUCCAAUGCUGGAUAGCCAGCUUCAUUUCAAUUUGCUUUUCUUUCCACCUUGUAUAUAUGUACAGUUUUUACAGUUACACUACUUCAAAAGUUUACAAAUAUACGCAGUAGGAAGACCUACUGUUUCUCUUAAAAAAACACUGACAGAGCAAGUGAUGAUAUCAGAAAAGCACUUACCCUUCUUUUUGGCCGAAACCUGAGCCCGGAACAGUGGAUAUUCUGGUUGCUUCAAGGAGCUUGAGGCAGUAGAAAACAUCUGGUUCUUUGCCAGCGCUUUUGGCUGUAUCGAUAGCUCUUUUCGGUAGGCAUAUUUGAAAAUAUGAGUACAUAGCUCCUGCAUUAGAGAAGAUUCUUUUUUCCUUCUAUUGACAAAAAAAGGCACAUUUUGGAAAUAUUUCUGUCACCUUCUGUGAAAUUACAAACAACAUUUUGGCAACUAUUGAAACCGUCUGUCAUUAUUUGUGCCCUCCUCCUCAAAGAAUCGAGGAUAGACUUGCUGCAACAUCAUUUGUGAGCAGAACAUAUUCAGUAUCCCGUUAAAAAAUUUCCUUCGAAAUACAGACAGUAAGAAAUGUGAAGAUCAUAAUGUUUAACCUUUCAGUAGCAAACUUCAAGUACGAGAUAUCUCCAGGUUUAGGAUGGUUCAUCAUUAGCCCCAUCUGAUAAUAACAGAUUCAGAACCAUUGUACAGCUUUUUUUUUCUGAAAACUUUAUAUAAACACGAUAGGUUGCAGAGAAACAGGGGGGGUGGGGGGGGGGGGGGGGAGAUAAAAGAAAAGAGGAAAAGAUGCAGAGACCAUUGUACAACUUCUUAAUAUAGCUGGAACAGAAUUAGUUUCAGUAACUCCCCCUAUGUUGAAUGAAGUAAAAAACACCGCCUCUGGUCAUGGAUAAGUUCCCCUGAAAGACAUGUGUAAUUCCUUGCAGGCAUUUAUAAAUUAUAAUGUAAAGAGGGCAUGCCUAUCUUUUCUGAGUCCAGCCUAAAUAGGUUUCCAGUCAUCAAGAAUUUGAAUAAUGGUCAUGGUUCUUAUUCCCCCCCCCCCCCCCCCCCCCCCCCCCCCUCCCUCCGUACAGAAAUAUUAUCAAGAAAAGAGCAAAGCAAUGAAGUUUGUUUCAGUUACGAAGAUCUGCCCAGGAACGUUUGGACUCAGCGCAAUUGAUGCAACCUUGUAGAUCUCAUCCACUGUCUGUGAGAAUAAGAUCAAUUAUAUCAUGAGUCAUAUAUUUAAGAAACUAGAUAUGUUGCAUUGUCCAAAUUUCAGGGUAAAUUCCUGUACGUUAGAAUUAACUGGAGACCUUACCUAAGUGACUAGACUUCACAUGUUCAAUUGUCAGCAUUAAUUAAACACUAUCAUACAGUUCUGAGAUUACUAGUAGUUGUAAAUGGAUGGCAUGAUUAUGAAUAUCCAACUCCGCCAUAUUCAAUUUGACAAUGUCCUGGGCAUUCACUUGAAACACCUCUCACCCAGACUUCUCAUCGCAUGAGCUCAAAUUGACAAAUACCUGGAGAGAAACUUUUUUCCUUCCCCUGGAAUUUUAUAGGUGUAAAUACUAGGUGUCGGUGGCUGGUGGUUGUGCAGGCAUUUCUUUUUCACGCAGUUUGUCGAAAGCUGCAAAUAACACAUUCAGAGCUGGAGCCUUUCAUUUUCUUGGUCUCCCAGCUGUGUUCUUUGCUGUCCUUGUCAGGUUCUCAACCUGCAACUGUUGGGUUAUCUUAUCAGCUAGUGGCUAAUGCAUCCUACUAAAAUGCUGCCUAUUGGUAUGGCUUUUGUGAACUGUGAUGUCUCUGUCUGAUGAAAAUGGCUUUGCCUGAUGUCAUGGCUAAACCUUGUUCCAUUAACGAAAUCACAGGUACAAGAUCCAAGAGGUUCUGAAAAGCGUUACUCCAAAGGAGAACGAAAUGCUGAAAACAAAGGUAGAUUCAGGCCUCCAACCUGAACAACAGAACAGAUCAUACAUCACUCCAACAAAUCUACCAGCAAGACUUCAACAGAACGCAGUACUUAAGCAUUUGCAAUUUCUCCUAUGGUGCAUCAGGAUCAUGUUAUCUUGUGUGUUUGAUUGAAUCUUAUACAGCUGAAUCCACUUCAACUGGGAUACAUUCAUACAAGAAAAAAGGCGGCAUACAGAGAACGUGGGAAUGCGGCAAUUGCAACUAGAAAUCCAGCAUUUUGCCAGAUCAGUGCACAUUGCUACAACCGAAUAUGAACAGAUUACUUACAACAACAAGAUAUAGCUUUGAUUAGCUGAGAGAAAAUGGAACCGUGGUUCGGUACAAUCAUAGGGGAUGAAACAACCAAUUAAUCUCAAGUAAUGAAAUACACUAGUUUGCAAGGCAUACUCUCACUUCUGUAGAUACCCUUGCGGAUAGUCGUCGGAUAUGUUUUCACCUUCCCUCAGCUUUGAUUAGCUGAGAGAAAACCCUGCUCAUCGACACGUCGGAGAGGUCGUGGUCAGGCUCGUGUGAAGCCCCAGCUUCUGCCAUAGUCAUGCUGAUGCUCUCAAGAGCACCCACAUGCUGAACCUGCGACGAGAGGUCAACGAUCCGGUUCAUGCUGUUCACGUCUGAUACUGUUGAAGAAUCUGCAUCUUGGAGCUGCAGGACAUACUCCAGGUUCCAUAGGACAUCUCCCAUCGACGGCCGCUCCACACCGUAGUCUGCCAGGCACUUCUCUACUGUUUCACCAAACUUCCUUAGAGAAUCCGGCCUGAUCGUACUGGAAAGUCUCUGAUCAACGAUCUGAUGCAACUCUCCCCUCUUCUGCCAUUUCAUUCCCCACUCUGCUAGAUUCACCAUUUCCCUCGGGAGCGUAGGGUCAAUCACCGGCCUCGCGCAAAGCACCUCCAGCAUGACAACACCAAAGGAAUAGACAUCUGACUUCUCAGUCAGCUGCUGCCUUCGGAAAUAUUCAGGGUCAAGAUACCCAAAGCUACCCUUCACUGCAGUGCUGACAUGAGUUUGAUCAAGCUCAGGCCCAGUCUUUGAUAGCCCAAAGUCAGCAACUUUCGCUAGGAAAUUCUCAUCAAGCAAGAUGUUUGCAGACUUGACAUCACGGUGGAUAAUGGCCUUUGCAGAACCAGUAUGAAGAUAGUGUAACCCCCUUGCAGCUCCAAUGCAGAUCUCCAAGCGCUGCUUCCAGUUGAGUGAUGGGUUGUCUGAACCAUAUAGGUGGCUUUUGACGGUCCCAUUCUCCAUAUAUUCGUAUACCAAGAUCAUCUCAUUCCUUUCAUCACAGUACCCAAUCAGAGACACCAGAUGGCGGUGACGCAAACGUGAAAGGAGUUCAAUCUCUGUGCGGAACUCGUUAAGACCUUGCUGAGACUUGGGGUUUCCUCGUUUCACUGCAACCUUCGUGUCAUCCCUCAACACUCCCUUGUAGACUUUCCCAAAACCUCCAACUCCAAUGACCCAGUUCUCGUCAAAAUUGUUUGUUGCUUCUUGGAGAACAUUGAAGGCAAAGCGAUAUCCAAGGCUUCCAUUCAGACCUGAUGUGAGAGUAGUACCAUAAGAAGUUCUACUUCCUGUACUGAGAGAUGUGAGACCAUUAAUAGAGAAAGGCAUCCAAGUCUUGGAGUGCUGCUUGUCAUCAGUCUUUUUCCUCCGGCAAAGCAGUACCAAAAGAAGGACAAUUACCAAAAGUCCAAUAACCCCAAUGACUGAACCAAUGAUAACAGCCAAAAUUUUCUUUGAACCAGAAGAUCCAACAGUAAAAGCAGAACCCGAGCCACUGCCCAUCUUCAUAACCUCAAGGCCAUUCAGAAUCCCAUCAGGGAAUGCGUUGUUCAAUGUAGAUGGACCAAUGCUGAUGCUGAGCUUGCUAGAUGCAUCAUUAGAUGAAAGAACCACAUCAACAUAGAUGGCUGUAGCCAAUUGAUUCAUUGAUUGCUCUGAGAGAUCAAGGUCAUGUUGUGCAAAGAAACCCCCCACAUAUGCAUUGAAGUAGAGUUGGUUAAGUGCCUUACUGACAAUAUCACAGAAGUGAAAUCUUAUUAAAUAGCUGAAGCCUGCAUCUACAUCAAACUGCCAUGUCAUGUUGAAAAGUGCGUUGGAUGUAUUUGAAGCUGCCAGUUCUGUAGCUGUACUGUAGACAACAUCAGGGGCAGUGAGUGACGAUGCUCCACCAUUCUUGUACUUGAUUGUCUUGCCAUAAACAACCUUUUUGGUCACACUAGGGUUCAUUAUGAACUUCUGAUCAUUCAGCCAUGUCCUUGAGAGGGUAUCAUUGUUGGGAGUGACCUUCGGACCACCCAUAUUGACGCGAUACACCGUCUCCAACGACUGCGUAGACAAACCGCUGUACUGCUGCACGGGGUUGACCAUCUGGGCAACAUCAGCUAUGAGAUCAUCCGGGACAGAAACCACUUCGAUUGCAUUGACGAAUGCGAUCCCGUUGGACGGCUUGAAGGAGAUGAUAAGCUGGUCCCGUGUGAUGUUCAAAGAGUAUUCCUUGAACAGCGGCGCGGUCUUGUCCGGCUGCUGGAAGUCGCUAAGCAGAAGCACAUCCUGGGUCGACACGGUGAACUUGGCGGUGGAGAGAUCGUAACUCUGGUAGAUGAAAGGAAAGAAGUAGAGACGGACGAAAUGGCGGCCUUGCUUGUUGAUAGGGAAGGUAUAGGACGACGGGCCGGUGAAUAUGCGGGCGGUCUGGUAGAGCGCCGAGUUGUCGAACGAGGACACCCCGUUGGCCGAGGUGCCGGCGAGGAUUUCUUGAGGUGUGGAGACCGUCAACGGAGCAGCCCCAUCGGCAGCGAAGUUUCUCUCGCUGACCGUGGUGCCCUUAGCAGAGCCGCAGUUGACGAGGUAGCUGUCGGCGGGCUUGAACUGAUCUACUAGUUGUGCUCUGCAGAUUAUCCCGGCAGACGAGCAGACACAGAAAAGGAGGAGCAAGGCUGCGACUUGCAACUUCCUCCUCCUCCCCGGCAUGGCGGCGCUGACCUGAAAGAAGAACAAGAGCGGGGUGCAAUGUGUUUCAGAUGCCAUGUCUAAGCAAGAAGCUUGAAAUCCAGAGAGGGAAAAAGGUGGAUCUGGAAACAAGAGUUACGAACUGGGGGAAGAUUAAGGAGAUGCAACGGGAAGCUGAAGGGCGCGCGGGAUCUGUUGGUGGGGUGAUGGGAGGAGAAACGGUCGGGAACGAAAGAAUGGAAGGGGGGAUAGAUACCUGCUGAGGUGGAGGCGCUCGCACGAGGAGGAAGACGAGCGACGGAGCGAAGGGGCUGGCAGCGGGACGGGGUGGCGGCGCUCGCUCGAGGAGGAAGAAGAGCGACGGGGUUGGGCCGCCAGGGGAGGGAAGGUUGCCGAGCAAAGCAAAUAAAAGGAAAAAAGUUUAUACUGUCCUGUUUCCCUCAGCCAGCCGACAGAGAAAAAAAUCUAGGAGGUUAGGAAACCACCGAUGAACAUCCGUUUUAGGACUUGUUUGCAAGGUUUUUGUGUGUUCUUGGCGACGGCAGCCUGACGAAGGCUCUAUCCCGUUCUGGCAUGGCUAUCAUGGUCUACACUCCAUGGAGUUUGUGGAUCUCACGGCUUGUAAAUUCGUGAUUUUGAUCAUGUUCCUCAUCAGUUCGGCUAUGAUUCAAUGGUUCGAUAACCUGUCUAGCGAGGGGUGUGUUCUCGGCCACCGCGCGUUCAACGAUCUUAAGUUCUCACCUGCUGAGGUAGAUGGCUCGUGUGGCUUACCCUACAAGGUUAGUCCAGGUUAUGCAGGUCUGGUCUUCUACUGUUUCAUUACCAGAGAUUUGGAGAAAUAUUAAGAUGCGAUUGGCACGACUAGAGAACUUGGCUUCAAAGAUUUUUGAUGUAACUUUCGAUUUAAUUUUUCGUAAUCUUUGCCGAAAUCUUGGGUAGAGAAUAAAGUCAGAUUUUCUAAAAAAAACAAAGCAAAGCAAAUAAAAAGUGAGAGAUAAAUGAGCUGAGAGCUCCCACCCUAGGCCUAACCGAGAAAAAAUAGUUUAAUAAUUUAUGUGAUGUAAAAUAUUUGUGACUAGUUUAUACAGUCGGGCCGAAAAUGUGAGGUUUUGUUAGCAAAUUAGCAAAAAUUGGGAGCUACUGAGACGAGCCCCAAUAACCGUGGUUUCUUGAAAUUUACCCUGUUUAUUAUGUCAAAUAUCCAUGUGUGUAUCUAUAUCUGAGGCGUCUGAAUUUUUAAGUAAAAGAUUUAAUUCUUGAUCGAUAGUAUCAAAACCACUCACUUCUCUCUCGUUGCGAAUUUUAAAACACAAUCUAGAUCCAACAACUGAACAAUAACUUAUUUCUAACUAAAAAUCAUGCGACUUAGGUAUAACAAGCCUAAAUAUCUAUUUUGUUAAAUAUCUAGAUGUUUCUGGAAAAAAAUAUAACUAUGUAUUUACUCUUACAAAGACCUAGCUUGAUAACUUGGCCGCUUGGGGCGCUGCAGUAGGUCAGUCCGCAGCGGGGACGAGCAAGAAAAAAAAUACGCAGUGGCUCCUCAGCACGGAGGCGAGUCUGACCUUCUCCUUGGCAACACGUGGGUUGAGAAUCCGGAAAUUCAGCUGAACAGAGGUGAGAAAUGAUCCAUGAAGGUGGCACAUCUCAGGGAGAGAAAUUGGGCACAAUCGAGUCCUAUCUCAGAAGAACUCAUAACCUGACACCGCUGCUGAAUUAGUUUAUAUGCGUUUUUUGCACAAGACACCAAUCCAGUGAGCUUCCUCGGAUUCGUCCCACUCCCACGCGGACAGGUAAUGUUGCGGGGGUGGCGAAGAGGAUGAGGCUGGCCGGGAGCCUGUAUCUCUUGCGAAGAAGUUGAAUCGCACGCUUGUGCGGCGUGCCUUGGUCCAUGAUGGUAGCGAGCGGCGGUGGCGAUGGAGGGAGUGCCGAGGAGACGGCGGCGGUGGCGGUGGAGGGAGUGAAGAGAAGCCCGAGGAGAUGGUGGCGAGCAGCCGGCGCGGAAGAAGGAAUUAAAAAAAAAAUACGGCGACGGCGGCCAGUGAGAUCGGCUUUGGACGCAACUGCAAGAAGAAGUUAGGGAUGCUUUUGGGCGAUGGUACCGGCAAACGCUUGUUAUCAGUCCUCUCUUAAUUAAGAUGUUUUUCUUUUGAAAAACGAAUGAAGAAGAAGUUAGGACAGAGGCGCCGGAAAGUGGCAGCUGGGCACGUUCAUUUAUGCCUUUUUGUAUUUCUGUCCUGACAAAUGACCCAUGUGCAACGGGGGGCAACCACUGUCCAACAAGCAACGCGGUAGCACAGUGGAGUGGAGUAUUAUUUGCUCUCUUUUUUUUCUUUAUUUAAAGCUUUUUUUAACAUUACCCGAUGGAGAAAAUUAUCAAACUUAACGAAUAAAAAUGCAUCCGUAAUUAGCGCCGUGACGUGUGCCUAAUUACGCGCAUUACGAUGUCCAUUUCGAACUCAGGGACCGUUGUCUAUGUACACAUUGUUUGUUUGUUUGUUUAUUGAGUGAUGGUCAUGUUGUUUAACUAAAUAUAAAUAUGGGAUUUGCUAUUUCUAAGGCAACCGAGAAAUAGCUACUAUUUGUAAAUCGAUGCUAACAACCGUUCGAUCCACUUACCAGAGGCGGCUGCAUGUGUAUUCACGUGUAUUCAUCAGAUGAAUGCACAAGAUUUUGAGAAAAAAAAAUUAUAUACAUAUAUUAGUACUAGUAUUAGUCAUUGGGCCCCUAGUCCACUAGUCCGUAGACCUCAGGUCAAGGCCCAGCAGCCCCAUGUCCGCGACUCUAGUAUGCCUCUGCGUGACGGUUUCGUUCCUCGAUCAAUCGAUCGGCACGCCGCACGCAAACGCCGCCAGACCCUAGCGAGCAGAGCAGCGGACGUCAGAGGCGAGGCCUUGAUUGCGGCGACCGCCGGCUCCGCGCGACCCAGUGCAGCGGAGCAAGGAUUGUCUGAUCGUGGCGUGGCCACGAGCACUAUUACGUUGUUUACAGGCUUCUUAAGUUGGUGUUGCUUCUACCAGUAGCUACUGCUAGUGUUGAAAGGGUUUUCUCCUCAAUGAACUAUGUGAAGAAUAAGCUAAGAAACAAAAUGGGUGAUGAUUACUUGAACAAUUGUUUGGUUACAUUUAUUGAAAGAAAGAGAAUUCUUCAGUCAAGUUACGGUACGGAUGAGGAUGUCAUCAAUCGCUUCCAACAAGGCGAUCGCAAAGUUAUAUUGUAAUUUUUAAGAUGAGGAUAUAUCAUUAAUUCUUCAAUCAAGAGGUACUCCCUCAAUGCUAGUUCAUAUUGUAGUAUUGAUACUUAUUAUGGAACUAUAGUCAUAGCUCAUAUAUAUUUGUAACCUGGUUAAAAAAUAGUAAUUGUCAUGCUGCUUUGUCCAAUGCUAUCCACAAUUUCAUUAUCAGUUGUUUUAUUUCAUAAAGUCCACUGGAUUUUUUUUGCAAUGAAUACCCAGUGUCUAGAACCUGGAGCCGCCACUGCCAAUCACUGAUAUUCGUGCAAGAUUUAUACAAUUAAAUUAAAAUGAUGAGAAAAAUCAUAAUUGAAUGGUCAUGAUCGUUGACUGAGAAAUAAUUAUUUACUAGUUGAGUGCCCGUACAUUGCUACGGAACGAUAAGAAAAUAUAUUUGUAUAGGCAUUUCGAUCACAUGGUUAUUUUAUUUCUUAAACGUAGUGGCCAAUAAAAAUAUGUCUAGUGAAAAUCAAACCCGGUGUCAUUAUCUUGCUUCCUUCCUAUCUCUCGCCAUCGUUGAUUCUCUUACUUUUAGAAGUUUCCAUUCAACACCAGUGGAGUAUGGUGAGCCAAACAUGGUGUACAGGAUGAUCAGUAUAAUAAUGGAGAGCACCACCCAAAUCACUUCACUUUGUUUUGGUGUACCAUCAGGAAUUUGACUUAUGUAAUAUGGUAGUAAUGAAACAAUCACUGCCCAAAACUGGAUAACAAGCAAUACUCUUGCAGCCCGAAGCCAUUUCCAAGAUCCACCCUAAGUUUGCAUUUUAUCAGCACUAUCCUUAGUUUUACUGUCAUCCAAUGAUUUUCCCUUGGUUUUACUGUCAGCAAGAGCAGCAGCAACUAUUGGGGGGGGGGGGGGGGGGGGGGUGCCAAAAGCAGUGCAAAAGGAAUCAUAUCCACACCAACUGAAACGAAUUUGCUUGGAGCUGCAAGGAAAUAGAGGAAAAAUGAUUGAUGGAACUUCACGGGCAGGUUAUUCACAGAACGUACCACCCCUUCAAUUAACCUGAAAUGGAAAAAAAUAUGGUGAGAUAAACAUAAACAAUGUGCUGACCACGUGCUUUAUUAAAUGCAGAACAUGCAUCUUUUUCUAUAAAAAUGAAAGAAAUGCUUUUCAGUACAAUAAGCCUGUUAUUUUUCUAUAAAUCAAGCCUCCACUACUAUUAUAUUAUUUGGACAAACAAAUCCAGAGUUCCUUAAAAGUCCAGUUAAAAUCAAAGUCUGUUUAGCCAACAUGAAUAUCUUUGUUGUGUCAGUCAGUUACAGAACAAGCUACAAAAAUGCGCAAAGACAUAACUAAGCAAUAGAUGAACAAUUGUUGGUUUCAUUACACAAGAUCCUUCUUUUGGAUAUUCUCCCUAACAUUAGGAUUAGGAUCCUGAAGCAAAAUAAAGAAAUCACUCAACCAAAUAAAAGUUAGCUAUUUGCAAUCAGUAUUUGUAACUCAACUUGCUGUUGACAUACAGGUCGCUGUUGCACGCUUCAGGAAAUUUCCCCUGCAUUUGCCCCAAAAGGAGUCUUCCGAUUUCUUUCUUAGAACAAUUGAAGAAAUAUAUUCAGCCAAUCCACAUACCUGCAAAUUAUACAGCCACCUCGGGUAUUUCUGUCCACAUCCGGUGUUUGAUAUCCAUGACAAAGCUAACAUCAAAUGUCUCGUCCUCCUUAAGAAAUUUCUCAAUAGAAUAAACCUACUGAAAUAAAAAUUAUGGAACUCUCAAAUUUAUUUAUUUGUCUUUUUAGAACCUGGAUCCCAAUUCACCCUACCCUGUAGCAUUCAGUUGGUUAAGUUGCGGUCUUAUCUUCCAAAGAGAGAGAGAGAGAGAACAAUCCAGAUAUCACAAUCUAUAUUCUCCGUUUUUACAUUUCACACCAGCCGUGAAUGGCAAAAGGAAAACUGCAUACACCAUUAAUUAAUAUCAGAGCAAAAGAGUAUUUCUGCCUGUAAUGCUAACUUUGCACAGAGCAAAGAACCAUUGGCGUCACAUCAGGAAACUGCAACCUGCAUCAAUCUUUUGCACAAAUAUAUAUAGAAAAAAAAACACAUAUACAGGGGGAAUCCGUCAUGCUACCUUACCAGAGAUGUGGAUUGAGGAGGUAUCCGGCGGUGAGGCAGACACAAGCACUCGGGCGGAUGGUAAGGCAGAUGCUGGCACUCUGUCCGGUCGCCAUGAGCACAAACCAAUCUUCCAGCCUGAAGAAAUCGAUCCUCUCCACUUUCGUUCCUUAUAAAAUCACAAGCAUCUCUAAGAGUACAAAUAUACUACUCAUUGCAAGGAAGUAGGAUCAGUCUUUGGCUAAAUAAUUUCCUCUAGACAAUGUAGGGAGUAUUAACACAGACUUAGACUUAGGCAGUGGACGCCAUAUCCUCAAAAAAAAAAUGCAAGAUUUCGAUGGGCACCUUCCCCUCGAACCUCCUUCUAUGCUGCUGCAGGUGGCAGCGGCUGCAAGGGAGGCGUUGCGGGAUACCAGCAGGCGUCGUCAGCGGCGGCGAUGCAGGCAGGCGGAUGCGGAUGCGGAUGCGGGGAGCACCCAGAUCGGUUCGGUUUUGAUUCGGGCCGGCUGGGCCUGCGAGGAAGCGGGAGGGAGGCGGCGCUGCGGAUCAAGAGGAGGCAGGGAGGAAGAGGCAGGCGGCGGCGGCGCGUCAUCGCGAGGAAGGCGAAGGGAGGGAGGGAGGCGGCAGCGCCGGCGUGUCCUCGCGAGGAAGGCGGAGGGACGAAUGGGGCAGCAGCACGGAUGAGGAUGAGGGGGCGUUGCAGGGAAGUCUGCGGCGCUGGAAGGGGGCGGUGGAGGGAGGGAGGACGAUGCAGAUCGUGAGGAAGGGGAUGGAGGCGUCGUCCGGAUGGGAUCGAUGCGGAUGGAAAUGAAGGUGGAGCUAAUCGCGGGAUUCUGCGCAUGCGUGGAGGUGGGAGGAGGCCGGUGGGAACCGGUUUUUUGGACGAUGAGACUAUCACGCGGACGCAACUGCAAAUUAAGUAAUACGUAGGAAAGAUAAAUCGGCUCCACUGCACUGGAUGUCUACAUGUGUACGUAGCAAGAUCGGUCGGCACGUACCAGGGGUUUGAUAAUGACACUGGUUAACAGAAAAACAACGACCAUCCCAUUCCCAUGUGAGAUGGAGCAAAAUUAGGCAGUUUCUUAAUUAGCCUGGCAACUGUCUUGCUGUCCGUCCGUCCAAGUUAAUUAGCAUGCAUGAGAGUUCGGUGGAGGACAGUUAGACUAAUACCAACCGACAGCGACUCGACUCCAUAUAAGUUUCAGAAAAAUAAAAGAGGCAUCUUCGUCAACACCGAUUGACAACGGGCCAUGCACACGGCCCACGGGCCGGCGGACAUAAAUUUGGAGUAGAUACGCAAAUUGGCAUUCUUGUUUGAAGGUGUUGGGAAGGCUCGCCAAACGUCAUCUCUGGUAUGAUUCGGUAUUAUUUCUAUGUGUCUAGACUCAAUAAAACUGAUAGACGUUAUCACGUUUGAUGAUUUAGCAAUGCAAUGAUAAAGCAUCGAUCUCAGCACUGCUUUGCUUCAUUUGCUUGUGAAAUUCAGACAUGUGUGUUGUGUACUCUCCAUAUAUUUAUGUUAAUUCAUAUCAUUUUAUCGCCCAAAUUGCCAAGCGUAGCAAACAUCUAAAACAUAAUGUAUUUCGGAAGGGAUUAAGUAGGUGUGUCAGCAUGACAGCAUGCAUAGUGUCAACAGCUCCACCAUCGCCAUCAUGGUGACAAUCACCUCCAUAUCUUUCUACAGUAAGAUAUGAAGCUCAAUCAACAACGGCGAUCAAGCUCUUAAUUAUAUCCACCAUGCAAGCAAUAACAAGGAGUAUUAAUUAAUCGAUGGAGCCAAGAGUUGCACAGUAUGAUUGUCUCAUAAAUUAUGUUUUCCCUAUACAUAUCAAGCACAGCAACCAGUUUAGUUUCUUCAAGAUAGUUACAGCUUACAGCUAAAUUUUUUAACUUUUAAUCGCUGGUGGAAAAUAGCAGCAAUAUAUCAUGUCGAUGAUGACCUCGUUGUUUCCCUCUUCACAUCACAGCCUGGAGUAGUCUUGGUAUUGCUCCAUGAAUGAGUCGUUGAACUUCUUGAAGCUCGACAUGAUCGCCGGCAUGUCUUCCUCUGCAGGCAGGAUCGUCGUCCGGAGAUGGAACACCCUGCCAAAUUGUUCCAUGCGCCCACAGAAAGAAGGAACAAAUUAAAUCAUCAGUGCAAUGUGACUAUCAAGCGCCUCACAGAGUUGUAGUCGGGUUCGGAGUUACAGUUAAACAAUAAGCAUGAAAGAAAAAGAAAAAAAACCAAAGGUACUCAUAAAAACCCUUGUUGAAUCAGCGUCAGAUUACUAUAGAAAGGAUGAAAUGCGAUAGCUUUCCUACAUUCACAGAUAUGAGGAGGAUGAUGGUUGAUUUUCUACGGUAGCUAAUGCGAAACGUGCAAACCCUACUCUAUCAUGGUGUACAAUAUCAAUGAUGUGCCACUGUUCUAGUUUUCAGAAUUUAUAUGCCAUGUUUGUCACUCUCUAAGUUUGGCUGGGAUCUCUUACAUUUCUUAACUCAUAACAACACAAAGAACUGGAGAUGAUUGCUCAUAGGGAAAAACAGAAAAAGCUCCAAGACAUCCAAUGCUGGAUAGCCAGCUUCAUUUCAAUUUGCUUUUCUUUCCCCCUUGUAUAUAUGUACACAGUACACUACUUCAAAAGUUUAUAAAUAUACACAGUACGAAGACCUGCUGUUUCUCUUAAGAAAACACAGAUAGAGCAAUUGAUGAUAUCAGCAAAGUACUUACCCUUCUUUUUGGCCGAAACCUGAGCCUGGAACAGUGGAUAUUCCGGUUGCUUCAAGAAGCUUGAGGCAGUAGAAAACAUCAGGUUCUUUGCCAGCACUUUUGGCUGUAUCGAUAGCUCUUUUCGGUAGGCGUAUUUGGGGAAAUGAGUACAUAGCUCCUGCAACAACAUAGAGCAUUAGAGAAGCUUCUUCUUUUUUUUCCUUCUAUUGACAAAAAAAGCACAUUUUGGAAAUAUUUCUGUCACCUUCUGUGAAAUUACAAACAACAUUUUGGCAGCUAUUGAAACCGUCUGUCAUUAUCUGUGCCCUCCUCCUCAAAGAAUCAAGGAUAGACUUGCUGCAACAUCAUUUGUGAGCAGAACAAAUUGAGUAUCCCGUUAAGAAAAAUUCCUUCGGAAUGCAGACAAUAGGAAAUGUGAAGAUCGUAAUGUUAAACCUUUCAGUAGCAAAUUUCAAGUACGAGAUAUCUCCAGGUUUAGGAGGGUUCAUCAUUAGCCCCAUCUGAAAAUAACAGAUUCAGAGCAAUUGUACAACUUAAUAUAGCUGAAACAGAAUCAGUUUCAAGAACUCCCCCUAUGUUAGAAUGAAGUAAGAAACACCGCCUCUGGUCACGGAUAAGUUCCGUUAAAAAAAACACAUGUGUAAUUCCUUGAAGGCAUAUACAGGGACAAAGGCAGAUAAAAAUGACUAUGGGGCCAUUUAUAUUGUCUUUGGGUUCAUUCUUGACAAAUAAACAGUAAUUAUCACUAUUUAACAAAGGAUUAGCUAAAUCCAUUGGUGUCAAGUGACACCAGUGCCAAUGAACCAGCUCUGUCCCAGGGCAUAUAUAAUUCAAAGAGGGCGUGCCUAUCUUUUCUGGGUCUAGUCUAAAUAGGUUUCCAGUCAUCGAGAAUUUUGAAUAAUGGUCAUGGAUUGUCAUCCCACCCCCACUCCCCCCCCCCCCCACCCCCUUCCGUACAGAAAUAACAUCAGGAAAAGAACAAAGCAUUGAAGUUUGUUUCACUUACGAAGAUCUGCCCAGGAACGUUUGGACUUAGCGCAAUUGAUGCAACCUUGUAGAUCUCAUCCACUGUCUGUGAGAAUAAGAACAAUUAUAUCAUGACUCAUAUAUUUUAAAAACUAGAUAUGUUGCAUUGUCGAAACUUCAGGGUAAAUUCAUGUACGUUAGAAUUUACUGGAAACCUUAUUUAAGUGACUAGACUUAACAUGUUCAAUUGUCAGCAUUUGUUAAACACUAUCCUACAAUUCUGACAUUGCUAGUAGUUGUAAAUGAAUGGCAUGAUUGUGAACAUACAACUCCAACAUAUUUUGUUUAUUACCUUAUAAUUCUGAGAGAUCAACACCACUCCAUCAACAGGAAUAUGUUGGUGCAAUGAAUAUAAUUAAAACAACCUGGUUAGCAGGUAGGUCUACUGUUUUAUACUGCACACUGCAAUAUAUAUACAACUGAACGUCGACUAAACAAAAGUCAACAGACUCCAGCACGCCAAGCGGUUCUGCUGUAGAUCUCCUUAAUAUUUUGGCAGUAGGCCAUGAAGAAUGUAACAUCUUUUUCAUACUGCAACUAAUUUUGUAUGGCUGCAUCCCCUUUUACAUAGUGAGGAAAUUGUACGAAACUGCAGGAGGAGCCUCUCCUGCUGUUUUCCCCGGUCAAAAAAAAAAUUGUACGAAACCUGUUGCGAGCAAUCAAAAUUCUAUGUUGACAUGUUACCUUGGGAGGAAUAUUAGUCAUUUCGAAGUACCCACCCCGCUGUCCACACUCCCCCCAAUAACCUUUGGAGACAGUAUGGAAAGAAAUCAGCUGGACUUCUCUGCUUAUUGGAGGACCCAUGUCGAAUAAAACCUAGAGCAUGUUGAGAAAGGGCAUGUCAGCACAGACACUAUUUCAGGAAAAUAUCUGAGAAACCUUCAGAGCAGCACAGUAGGGGCAUAAUCUCAAGUAAGAGAUUUUCAACAUGAAGAAGCUCUCAGGUACUUGUUAAUAUGUGGUACUUAUGGGUAAUUUACUGCACUCAUUUGUUUUUAGGCUAAUCACUUGAAAACUAUAGGCUCGAGUGAAAUGGUAAUCAUGAGAGACCAUCAUUGGACAGAAAUCCGACGUACCUUUCUUGCACUUAUAAAGGGGCGUUCAUCUUGAUAAAUGUUCUGUUGAUAAACUUCAUCUGCAAGCAGAACUAAGUUUUCCUGAUAACAAAAAUUCAGAAGUUCCCUGAUAUUUGCUUCACUUAGGCAUUGGCCAGUGGGGUUUCCAGGAUUAAUAAUCACCAUUGCUCGAACCUGAGUUGGAGAAAACAAUAUCAUCAGAGCUGAAUGCAAAAGGUAUACAUUUAUAAUGAAAAAUUAUGGGAAGCAUAAAUGCCAUGAUCAUGAAAGCAACAUGGACAGGACAACAAGAAUCUGAAACAACUUAUACUCAUCAAGUGGAACAUUUUCUACAUGUUGGGUGAUCAGCAACAUAGUGUUCUUUCUUCUAGCUGAAUAUUAUUUUUCUGCCCAAGAGUUGGCAUAGGUUUUAGGUUAGCCACUACUUAUAUGGCUGCACAGCUACUUACCAUUAGUGUUUCCAAUGAGUAUAGUAUGUAAGGAAUUACCAAGUGCAAGAAAUACGGAAGAAGGAUAAACGUCUGAAUUAUCAUAAAACACUUACAGUCAUCCCCUUGGACCGUGCAGCUGCUACUGAUUGCCGGGUAGUUACAAUGUCGAGUCCCCAGUUAGCCUCUUCUUCUAAGUAAUAUGGGACAAGCGAGCCACCAAAGAGAGAAAUGGCUGCAGAAUAAAGCGGGUAUUGUGGAACAGGGACCAAAAUCUGCCAAGAAAUAUACACUAGUCUUUAGUAGGACGGGAGCGGGAUAUUAUCUGGGGAAAGAUACGGCUCUUCAAGGUGAUAACCAUACCCCGUCUCUCUCGUUUCUGAUAAUGGCGUUGAGCAUUUGCAUCACACCUUUGCUGGCACCAUCAGUCAGGUAAAUAAGCUCCGGAUCACUGCAAUAAGUAAGACCAUACAAUAUAGGUGUGAGGAUCACCAGAAAACCUGUGACGCCCAACAAGGUGCAAUGUUUUCAUCAGUGCUCUUGUUCUGUCUGACCUCGGAUACCCGUCACGCCUCUGAAUGAACUCGGCAACUUCCUUCCUAACUCCGGGGAUACCUCGGGAGUCACUGUAGGCACCUAAUCAGAUAGAUUACAAGCAGUGUGAGUCAAAACACGCAUAUGUCCUUAAGCCUACAAAAGCAUACCAUAGAAUUGUAUAAAAUUGGAUAUCUUAUUUCUAUUAUGGGAGGAAAAUAAAAAAAUGACAAAUUUUCAUUUAUUCACCACUUGUAGAGGCAGGCAAACAGGAACAAAACCCUUGAAACUAGAAGAAAAUUUGAGAACACAGUUCUGCGCAUGAACAAAACCUUACAAAAGGUUGGACUUUUGCAGGAACAGAAUAGGUUACCUAAACCACCGGGCGCCAUGGAGAGGUAGUGCUUGGCCCGGGCGAUGGCAUCGGCGGGGAAGAUGAGGCCGACGUUGGGAUCAUCGAGCAGGAACGGAGCCUGGCACAGCGCCACCACCUGCAGCAAUCACAUCACACGGGAUAAGUAUUAAACGCCACCAAAUCUCCAAAACCCUAUGUCAGGGAACAAGAAGAGAUUGAGAAGCGAGGAGGAAGGGGAUGGAUAGAUGAUGAACCUGGCGGGGGAAGGUGAGGGGCUUCUGGCCGAGGGCGUGCGGGUUGCCGACGUUGGUGAAGAUGAUCCGCUUGCCCUCCUUCUGGAGCUCGGAGGCGCGGAGGUAGAGCUCCCCGCGCACGGCGUACUGCACCUUCUUCACGUUCUCGUUCAGCUCCUCGUAGUCCAGCGCCUUCCUCCCCAUCAUCUUCUUCCUCUCCUUCUUAUCCCUCCGCCGCCGCCGCCGCCGCCUCUGCUCCGGCGGUAAGAAUCGAUCACCCGAGGAGAGAAAGGGAGCGAGAAGAGGAGGGGGUGGGGGUGGGUAGACAAGAAAGGGGAACCAAGAAACAGGGGAGCUGGUGGGGAUUUGUACUGUAAUGGCAGAGUGACGAGAUUCCUUGUCGCGUUGCUCCGCCGUGCUCGCCCCCGGAUUAAUCAAUCAACUGCGGAUAAUGUGGAGACGAGACGGCAUCCUCUCGUUCCAAAUUUCCUUUCUGCGCCGGCGAAUUUGGGUGGAAAUCGGGCGCGAAUUUUGGGUGGAGAUAAGAGGAUGAAUGGCGCCACUGGGUUGGGUUAUCGCCUUACCUGCGGUGGAGAAGACACGACGGCUUGGCUUCGCCUCUGCUUCUUCUGCUGCUGCUGCCUCUUGGCACCGGGAAGGUCAGGUCAGGUCAGCCAAAUAAUGCAGAAGCAAAGGAACACUUUUUCUUUGUCUCCAUUUGCCUUCGGACACACACAUGUAUGUAUGAACUGCUCUCCACAGGAAUGGCAAGAAAUGUGCCAGACUCACACAAAAAUGCAGGCAAUUUUUAUGAUAAGAUCCAAACAGAGGUACUGCUAGAACAUGUGUCUUGGUUUCAGAAAUGCAGCUUCCGGCUGCAGAGUGUUUCAGUAUCAGACACAGGGAACUGAACUGCUGAGAUGGCCUAGCAAAUCAGGCAAAAAGUUCAGAUCCUUAGCUUCUUAGAAGUUCAGAACUAUAGAUGGACAGAUCAUCUUAUUAGCUAUUGUGGUUAUUUUUACUUUUUGUAUCACUGUUUUCUCUUCAGAAUGAAUGGGUGACUAAUAAUAGGUUUAAUAGGUCAGGUCAGCCAAAUAAUGCAGAAGCAAAGGAACACUUUUUCUUUGUCCCCAUUUGCCUUCAGACACACACAUGUAAGUAUGAACUGCUCUCCACAGGAAUGGCAAGAAAUGUGCCAGAAUCACACAAAAAAUGCAGGCAAUUUUUAUGAGUAAAGAUCCAAACUUGCUGCUAGAACAUGUGUCUGUACUACUGCUAGAACAUGUGUCUUGGUUUCAGAAAUGUGAUCUGCUGCUGCAGAGUGUUUCAGUUUCAGAGACAGGAAAUUGAACCACUGAGGAAAUGCAAUAUAUGCAAAUCAGGCAAAGAGGUACAGAUUCUCAGAUUCUUAGAAGAUGAGAACUAUAGAUAGAUAGAUCAUCUUAUAAGCUAAUGUGGUGAUUUUUAUGUUGUAUCACAGUUUUCUUUUCAGAAUGGGUGACAGGCAAGUUCCUAACACCUUUGUCUGUGUGUGUGCUUUGUGUGUUCCAUUAUGUUGUCCCAAGCUUUACAGAUCAUGUACACUUCGGCACCAUUUUUAACACUUCCUUUGUUUUUCCUUCCUUCAGAGAAAAUUUUGCUAAGAAGACAUGAUCCCUGUGCCGGGUUAAUUACGAUCCUCAGACAUAUACAACGGGGCGAAUAGCGCGAUCAAAACAACAAUCCGUUCCACGGCGAUGACAUCAUCUGAGCAUUCAAGCAUAAGGUCUCCGAAGGGAUCGACGGUGAAUCACUUCUUGCUGCCGGGGAUCUGCACCCAUUGCAGCUGGAGCUGGAUCUCGCCGCUCUCGACGUUCUUGAGCCGCAGGAUCACGUCCUGGAUGAACCUCCCAUUCUUCCAACACAGCUGGCUCUCGUCGGCGAGGCAGUUCCGGUUGCUAGGCCGGAUGGACCGGAUGACGGUGCCGUUGCGCAUGUUCUCGGGGUCCAUGUUCAGAACUUCCAUCAAGGGUUCUACCUCGAUCUCCGCAUCUCCCAUUGGGUCAUCUCUGCUGAAAGUGUCCUUGUCAAACACCUCCUGUAGAUUUUCAACAGAAAAUAUUUGUCAGGUAGUAAUAAUACUUAAUUGACAUUCCUCUAUAAUUUACAGAUUAUUACAAGGGAAAUACAGCAUGGACAGAAAAGGUUACUCACAAGCUUGAUUGGUACAUUCGGAUUUGUGAUUGACAAGGUUAGCUCUUCAUGCCAAAUAGGGUUCACAGAUCUCUUCUUAACACUUGUCUUCAGCUUCUGCAAAUAUCAAUUCAAACAGGGCAUUAACUUAGAUGGGAUGAAAACAAUGCACUCAUCAGAUGAAAAAUCAUGAACAUAUAAAAAUAAAAAGGACACCAAUAGAAAAGGGGUUAAAAUGGCGACGAAGAUCGACCUGCUUGCCGAGGCGAAGGACAACAUAAGGAUCACUGCCUCUUGCGUCGCGGUAUGCAAGGUUGUAUCCACGCACCACCCGCACCUUCAAGAGGCCUACCAAUCCAUCCAUGCUUCUUUUUGCUUUUCUGGAUUUGAUUGUAUGUUGUUGUUUUUGGUUCCUGUGGGUUUACUUGUUUGAAACUAGUGGUAUUACAGACGAGAGGGGACAGAAUGCGAGACGAAGAAGCGCCUAAUCCAAUCCAAUUGAAUUAGGCGGCUUCUUACGUCCCGUUUUUUGCCUCUCAAAACUUAUGAACUUGUGUUUUGUUUGUUCUCUAUCACCAUAAAUAGUCUCAGACAUGAGUCUAAAAAGGAACAGUUUUGGGACAAGAGGAAAGAUGAGGUCUUUGUUAGCCUCAACCGUAGGAAUUGUGCUGACCAUUUCUUAUGUGGCCAGUAUUGGAUUGCUGCCAUUUUUGGACAUGUGGAAGAUCCCAUCAAUUGUUUCUUUCGCAUACGAAAAAUGUGUGUUGUGUUAUACAGAUUGGACUGGCCACCUUUUGCAUAUGCAAAAUGGUUACACUGAAAGUUGAAGACUCGAAGGUCUAAAAAGUACUAGUUUUCUUCUCUCUUCUUUUUUGGGAAAUGCUGAAAUGUAACAAGUCUAUGUACCAAGUGUACAUAGAGAUAACUUAAGCAGCAGAUGUGAAGAUAAAAAUAGACAAUGAAGCAGUAAAUUAAUGAUUUUAUGGUAGAGUAUGUGUAGGAGCAAAAACAAGCAAAACAUUUGGUCAAGUAGAGUCUGUUCUUUGUAUAUAUUCUCCUGCCAAGCUGCAACUACCAACUGCUCAGUUAAUUCCUCUUUAUCACUGCAAAAAAGUUGUGGAAUUCUUCAAGUCAUAUUCUACCGAUAUUGCAUUUUUCAUGCAUUUGUAGUGUCCAAUUCGAAACUCAUUCUCUUAAUGUCAUCGCGAAGCGCAACAAAUUGAAUACAUGUUGGUCAAGAUGGAAAUAUGUCAUUAUGCAGAAAAUUAAUGUCCCCGCCCUACACCUCUCGGUGUAUCUUGCACUCUAUGGCCACAUCUCUGCCCCCGGGCUUAAUGACCAAUGUGAAACCAAGUCUCGGGGAUGAUGGCAUCCAUGGGGUGCAUUCAGCGGUUGGGUUUCAGUAGGAGAGCGAAUUCCGAACAAUUCAAAUUUGGCUCUUCAUUUUGUUUAAUUGUUGUACUAGGUCGUCGACCCCUUCCAUUUUCCUUCUACUCCCCCCUCCCGGCUCGUCAUGAUGGCAGUACUCCAUCCAUCGUUUGAUAUUGUGACAUACUCCCUCUGAUCUUAAAUUAUUGUCGUUGUUUUAGUUUAAAUUUUAACUAAAACAACGACGGUAGUUUUGGAUCGGAGGGAGUACUAUAUUUUUUUACCCGACUUCCAAAAUUUCGGCCUAAAAUGUCAGGAUUAAUUACCUCGAGCAAAAUUCUCGAUAUCAUAAAUAACAAAUUAAUGGAGAGGUUGGUUCUUUAUCCAACAAAAAUUAGUAAGUUACACAUAUUUGGCUAAAAUGCAUUCACGUAUACACAUUACACAGCGAAAAAAUCAAAUCAACGCAUAAAUUACUUAACGAAGAACCAACACAGGAAUCAAAAUCAAAACACUCAGACUGAUGGACACAUCCUCCUGAUCAGGGCGAUCAAUAAAAAAAGAUUAAUCAAGGAUGGAUGAAUUCCGGCUAGGCGGCGGCGGCAGGGAUCUUGACCCACCGGAGCUGGAGCUGGACGAUCCCGGUGUCGACGUCCUUGAGCCUGACCAGCACCUCCUGCAACACCUGGCCUUCCUCCCAAACGAUCUGGCUCUCGUCGGCGAGGCAGCUCUUGGAAUGCGGCCUCACGGUGCGCACCACGGUGCCGCUCUUGAUGUCCUCCAGAUCCAUCCUCGCCAUCUGCAGCAACGGCUCCAGCUCCACCUCCGCCGUCCCCAUCGCGUCGUCCUUGCUCAUCCUGUCCUUGUCAUACACCUCCUAAUUUGCAAAAUCAAGAUCAAGAUCAUAAUUGAGAUUUCUCUGAUUGAUUGAUUGAUUGGGGAUUUACGAGCUUGAUUGGGGUGGAGGGGUCCUUGACGGCGAGGGUGAGGUCCUCGUUCCAGACGGGGUUGAUGGUGUUCCUGACGACGCUGGUCUUGAGCUUCUGGGAGUCGAGGUGGAGGACGACGUAAGGGUCGCUGCCGUCGGCGUCGCGCUGGACCAGGUUCACGCCCCAGAUCACGCGCACGCUCAGCACGCCGUCCGGCACCAGCGCCGCCGCCACCUCCGACGCCAUUGGUUUCGAUCUCUUGAUGUUCUUGUUCUUGAAUUUUGGUUUUGGGAGUAUGGAGAGACUGAGGGAGAGAGAGAGAGAGAGCGCGCCUGACUGAAUUUUGGUUCUUGUUCUUGAAUUUUGGUUCUUGGAAUGGACGUACGGGAGGACCUCAGGUUGGACGAUUCGCUCGCCGUGUCUUGUGGGGAACAACAAGAACAGGGGAUCUCUGCUAUUUCAGGGACGCACCAAAGCAUUCUGCUGUUUCAGGAACGCACCUGCGUGCCUGAUCUGGCCCAUAGACCGCUAUGCACAUGGACCAUCUCAUCGAAAUUCUCAAGUUACUGUAAACUAUUUCCGCACUAGUUUCAUCAAAAUUUUCGCAAGCUGUCGAAAUCAAACGCCUAGUGUUUGAUAGAGAGAAAAUGUAUAAGAAUAGAUAUGGUCUAGUGUUUUCGGUACAAUUUAAGCAUUGCUGUGGGUUGUGGUUGUGCCGUGCAAUAUACUUGAAUUUUGGAAUUUUUAUGUUUUGUAAGUUGUGUUUGUGUGUUACCUGAAAAAUGGUUGAAAACAUGUUGCUCAAUACUACAAUGUUGGCAUUCAUCUGUCAAAGGCUUACUUUUGGCGAAUUCGGAAGGCGUUUGUUGGUUUGAAACUUGAAAGAAUGUUUUGUUUUUCUUUUCGAAAAUUGAGGAUCAAUGCUACGUAUAGCACUAAUUAAUUUCCAUACGCCAUUAUCUUCAUACCUGGAGGAAGAGCCCAUAGGCCCAUACGCACAACUGUGUACAAUUGCAUAGACCAAAAACGAAUUUGGCAAUUUUAAGUUGGACGAACUUGAACAAGACUUGUUACUGGUAAAAAAAAAACUUGAACAAGACUUGUUCGUCAAGACAGGCCAACGCUGGCUACUGUUUCCUGUGGCGUGUGCCUUGGGAGUCGGGUCAUAUCUCUCCAUUAAUUCUUGGAGAAGAAGAAAAGCUUAAUUAGCUCGACGGGCAGCCCCAUAGCCCAUAGGAGUACAUAGAGAGAACCAAGGGGCGGCCUUUCUUCUUCCUCCUCCAUCAUCCUUGAGACGCCGAGCUCGAGAUCCAAGCUUGAGCAAUCAGUACACAAAUACUCGUAUCAAUCAAGCAAUCAAUGGCGUCGUCGCUCCGUUCCUUGCUCGGGAAGCUUCCGCUCCCCGCAAGCGGCAAGGGCAAGGCCGCCGCCGGCGCCGCCACCGUCGCCGCCGCCGCCGGUUUCUGGUACCUCAGAAACAACAACGUCGACCACGAGGUCGACAUCAGUACCAUGAGUACGUAUGCAUAAUGUAUCUUUCCAUCUUAAUUAAUUAUAACACAAUGUAUGCUUACAUAAUUGUAAUUAUGAAUUGCAGGCAGGGAGGAGAUGCAGGCUGCGGCAGCGGCGGUGGCCAUGAAGAGGAAGCUCGGGGCCGCGGAGGAUGCGGGGAACAAGGAGGAGGCCACGGCGGCGGCGACUGCGCAGAACGCCGGCAAGCCGGCGAAAGAGGCGGUCUAGCUAGUGUAGAUCGAGCUAUAAAUCUGUUGGUCAGUGGUUAGUUAAUUGAUCAAUGGCGGUUAAUUAGUUCUUAGUUGUGACCAAUCAAUUUAGCUCCUUUGCAAUUCCAUGUGACAGCAGUAAUCUUUGUUUACGAACGUAAUUUUUGCCCUUUUCUAAUCUUGGCUCAUUUGUUAUACUGGGCUGAGACAGUAGACCGAUUUC